AAACGGUCAAGACGUGCAGAAAUUGAGUGUUGUUUCGAAUCUGCAUGACCUUACUGCUGAGGCAGAGUCCGAGUGAGACUCAGAGGAAAGUGCUGCGGAGGAUAUGCGAACUCGUUCCCUCGGCUCAUGUGGACAUUCAAGUUGGUGCAUUGGAAGCUUUCUAGCUGUUGCUAGAGAACAAGCAGCUGAUGGUGCACACAUUCCAUUGAAUGCAUUUUCCUACUGUGUUAAAUGGACUGGAGAGUAGAGAGAGAGAGUCGCCUCUUCAGCGUGAGUAAAGACUCUGGUUGUUGUUGUAAGCAGCUAGAGUCCUGAUGUGGUCAGGAGAGAGAUAUUGCCGAUUGCCUUUGCGAAAGGGCAGUUGUCUCAGACUGUGUUGUCACGUCUAGCCAGCUGUGAAAUACUGGGACAAAUUGCAACUAAGUUUGAGGCU